CCUACGGGGGGCUGCAGUGGGGAAUAUUGGACAAUGGGCGAAAGCCUGAUUCAGCCAUGCCGCGUGUGUGAAGAAGGCCUUCGGGUUGUAAAGCACUUUCAGUGGGGAAGAAAGCCUUGGGGCUAAUACCCUCGAGGAAGGACAUCACCCACAGAAGAAGCACCGGCUAACUCCGUGCCAGCAGCCGCGGUAAUACGGAGGGUGCGAGCGUUAAUCGGAAUUACUGGGCGUAAAGCGCGCGUAGGCGGUCUGAUAAGCCGGUUGUGAAAGCCCCGGGCUCAACCUGGGAACGGCAUCCGGAACUGUCAGGCUAGAGUGCAGGAGAGGAGGGUAGAAUUCCCGGUGUAGCGGUGAAAUGCGUAGAGAUCGGGAGGAAUACCAGUGGCGAAGGCGGCCUUCUGGACUGACACUGACGCUGAGGUGCGAAAGCGUGGGUAGCAAACAGGAUUAGAUACCCCAGUAGUC
rnacentral:rRNA from 1 species